rnacentral:rRNA from 1 species
AACGAACGCUGGCGGCAUGCCUAACACAUGCAAGUCGAACGAGAUCCUUCGGGGUCUAGUGGCGCACGGGUGCGUAACGCGUGGGAAUCUGCCCUUAGGUUCGGAAUAACAGUUAGAAAUGACUGCUAAUACCGGAUGAUGACGUUAAGUCCAAAGAUUUAUCGCCUGAGGAUGAGCCCGCGUAGGAUUAGCUAGUUGGUGUGGUAAAGGCGCACCAAGGCGACGAUCCUUAGCUGGUCUGAGAGGAUGAUCAGCCACACUGGGACUGAGACACGGCCCAACCACCACUGGGGGGCAAAAGAGGGGAAUAUUAGAAAAGGGGGGGAGUCCUGUUACAGCAAUGCCGCGGGAAAAAUGAAGGCUUUGGGGGUUUAAAGCUUUUUUACGCGGAAUGAUAAAGGCAGUACGGGGAGAAGAAGCCCCGGGUUACACCCU